rnacentral:lncRNA from 10 species
GCGCAUGUCCCCGCGCAGGGUCGGGCGCUGGGGUGUGGAGACUGAACCUUGCAGACACCCGGGUCCGCACGUCUGGGAUGGACGUGCGCAGCUCCACCGUAGUGCUAAUCCCCUCCCAGUCCUGGAACAGCCCAGAUGAUGUAUUUAAUAGUAUUCUUUUAGCCCAACGCGAGAAUGUUUUCGUCUGGUUGUUUUUGUUUUUCGUUUUUAGAGACAGUCUCGCUAUAUUACCCAGGCUGGAGUGCAGUGUCAAGAUCUCGACUCACUGCAGCCUUGAACUCCUGGGCUCAAGUGAUCCUCCCACAGUGCUGGGAUUACAGGCGUGAGCCACCGCACCCGGCCUCUAGUUCUGUCUUUUUGCUCAGUAUUAGAAUUCGUAAGUUCUGGCCCCAGCAACUCGUCCUUUCAUCUGUCUCAAGUUGCACUGUGGUGGUCACAGGAGCUGUCCUGCACCUUGCACAUGUGGCCAUGAACAAGACUCGCUCCUUGCUCUCAUGGGGCCUUCAUUCCAGUGAGACACAAAUGCAAACACAAAAUUCCAGAAGAGUGCUGAGUGCUAUCAUGAGAAACGAAGACAGGCUGGAAGAUGGGCUCUGACCCCAGAAAACCGAUGGAGAGGCCCAAGCAGCCUUGGGAGCAACAGGCAAGUUGGAGGACACACGGCAAGGCUACUUGGAAGUAGGGGAGGGUGCAUGGGAAACCCUGAGGCUGUGGGGGGAGAGGCAGGAGCCAGGUGAAGUCCAGGUAGAUGGCAGUGGAGAUGUAAGAACAUGGUGGAAUUUUUUUGUUUUUGAGACGGAGUCUUGCUCUGUCCCCCAGGGUGGAGUGCAAUGGUGAGAUCUCAACUCACUGCAACUUCCGCCUCCCAGGUUCAAGCGAUUCUCUGGGAUUAUAGGCACCUGCCACCAUGCCCAGCUAAUUUUUGUAUUUUUUAGUAGAGAUGGGUUUUCACCAUGUUGGUCAGGCUAGUCUCGAACUCCUGACCGCGGGUGAUCCGCCCGCCUCAGCUUCCCAAAGUGCUGGGAUUACAGGCGUGAGCCACCGCGCCUGGCCAGAACAUGGUGGAAUUUGAGUGUGCUUGGGAAUACACUUAUAGGACUUGCUGAUUAGUUGAAUGAGGAAAUAAAAGAACGAAGAAUAUCUUCUGGGAUUUCAGCCUGAGCAACUGGGUUGCUGGUGGAUGGUGGUUCUCUUAUCAAGGAUGGGAAAGAUGGGUUGUCUCCCCUAAAAUACUGAGUUUUAAAGGCAGGGACUGUAUCUUUGCAGUCCUGGCUCCUAGCAAGGGCCUAGCCCUUAUAUGACAUUCGUGAAUGUUGAAAUGAAUGUGACACGCCUGAAACAAUCCUUCUCCCUCACCUAGGCCCACAUCUCCAAGUCAAUAUUCCAGUACAAGCCACAUCCAGUCCCCUCACUGACACACACAGGCCUGGGCCCAGGAGCUCACCCCUGUGCUGUAAGGCUAGGUGCAUGUGUUAUUUCCAGAGUCUACCCUUGGAGGUGCCUCAGACUCCUGGGUACCUGUCGCUGGGAGGUAGCCAGUCAUGCUGUCCACAUACAUGCUUUUGGGCAGUAGAGAAGCUGAUCAUUGGGAAGGUUUAUUUCCUGUCUCCACAACAGGAGGCAGGUCACAGCAGUGGCCACACAGUGCACAAAAGGCCAUCCCCUCACAGCCGCAUGGUUGGCAUGCAGC